GCGGACGUGGCGGAAUUGGUAUACGCACUAGCUUGAGGGGCUAGCGCCCGCAAGGGCUUAAGAGUUCGAGUCUCUUCGUCCGCA
rnacentral:tRNA from 1 species